rnacentral:rRNA from 1 species
AUACGGAGGGGGCUAGCGUUGUUCGGAUUUACUGGGCGUAAAGGGCGCGUAGGCGGAUUAGUAAGUUGGGAGUGAAAGCCCGGGGCUCAACCUCGGAACUGCUUUCAAAACUGCUAGUCUAGAGUGAAGUAGGGGGUGAUGGAAUUCCUAGUGUAGAGGUGAAAUUCUUAGAUAUUAGGAGGAACACCGGUGGCGAAGGCGGUCACCUGGACUUCAACUGACGCUGAGGCGCGAAAGCGUGGGGAGCAAACAGGAUUAGAUACCCUAGUAGUCC